CAAAAAAAGUGGGACUACUUUGGAAGCAAAGUUUAUAGGAACUUUGCCAAAAGAACUCAUGUAGAAGUGUCAGGGCAUUAUUUUGGAGAACAAAUUCUGGUCAUUACAUUGUUUGGUUCACACUAUCACAAUAGGCUAAUGACUUUGGUCAACUAGGUGAUAGAACCGAGGAGUGAAGGAAAUAUCUAAAGAAAGUAAAGCCAUUAGAGUCAGAGUUUGUAAAAUCUGUCUUGUAUAAUUCUUAAUUCUCUUAGAAAUUCAUUUUUGUUAAUGCUUGUAAAUUUUAUGUACGCGGCUGUUGCAUGUAUACAGAUGACAUUGUUGCAGGCUUUUGCCAAGUAUUGAAUGAAGGAACAUAAAUUUGAGU